UACGGAGGGGGUUAGCGUUGUUCGGAAUGACUGGGCGUAAAGCGCGCGUAGGCGGAUCAGGAAGUUGGGGGUGAAAUCCCGGGGCUCAACCCCGGAAUGGCCUUCAAAACUCCUGGUCUUGAGUUUGAGAGAGGUGAGUGGAAUUCCGAGUGUAGAGGUGAAAUUCGUAGAUAUUCGGAGGAACACCAGUGGCGAAGGCGGCUCACUGGCUCGAUACUGACGCUGAGGCGCGAAAGCGUGGGGAGCAAACAGG
rnacentral:rRNA from 1 species